CGGAGAGAGAUGCCAGCUGCGCCCCGAACCCCGCCGGCUGCACCCUGCACCCACCGACUGGACCCCGAGAGCCCCCAGCUGCACCCUGCACCCACCGACUGCACCCCGAGAGCCCCCAGCUGCACCCUGCACCCACCGACUGGAACCUGAGAGCCCCCGGCUGCACCCUGCACCCACCGACUGGACCCCGAGAGCCCCCGGCUGCACCCUGCACCCACCGACUGGACCCCGAGAGCCCCCAGCUGCACCCUGCACCCACCGACUGGACCCCGAGAGCCCCCAGCUGCACCCUGCACCCACCGACUGGACCCCGAGAGCCCCCAGCUGCACCCUGCACCCACCGACUGGACCCCGAGAGCCCCCAGCUGCACCCUGCACCCACCGACUGGACCCCGAGAGCCCCCAGCUGCACCCUGCACCCACCGACUGGACCCCGAGAGCCCCCAGCUGCACCCUGCACCCACCGACUGGACCCCGAGAGCCCCCAGCUGCACCCUGCACCCACCGACUGGACCCCGAGAGCCCCCAGCUGCACCCUGCAGCCACUGACUGGACCCCAAGAGCCUCCAGCCGGACCCUACACCCAUCAUCCAGACCCCACAAACCUCCAGCUGCACCCUGCACCCACCAAUAGAACCCAAGAGCCUCCAGCCGGACCCUGUGCACAUCAGUCAGACCUCAAGCAUCUCCAGCAGGACCCUACACCCAUCAAUUGGACCCCAAGAUUCACCAGCUGGACCCUGCAUCCAUCAGUGGGACUCCAAGAGCUGCCGACCUGACCUUUCUCCUAUCAUCUGGAGCCCAAGAGCUGCCAGCUGGAUCCUGCACCCACCAUCCAGAUGCAGUCACCAGCUGGACCCCAAGAAUCACCAGGUGGACCCUUCACCUGUCAGUCAGACCCUACACUCAUCAACUGGACGCCAAGAGUCAUCAGCCAGAUGCUACACCCAUCAGCUGCAGCCCACGAACCACCAGCUGGACCCUUCACCCAUCAACCAGUCCUCAAGGACCCUGCACCUGCCAGCAGGACACCAAGAGUUGCCAGCCAGACCUUAUGACCAUCAGCAGCACUCCAAGAGCUCCCAACCUGACCUUCUCCCUCCAUGCGGACCCCAAGUGUUGCCACCUGGACCCCAGGAGACGCCACCCGAACCCCACGGGCCAUCAGGAGCCUCCAGCCAGAGCUGAAGCACCGCCGGCCAGUCCCGUUCAGCCUGGGUGGCCGCGGUGCCCGCUCGUUGGGAACACAAACUUCCCAGCUCCGAUCCUUUUUGGUCUUUCCUGGAGCGCGAGCGUGGCCCUCAUAGAGGGACGGGGACACCCUGGCUUCUUCCGAAGGAGAAAGUUUGAGCGAAGCAGCAGCCCCGGUUCCCGCGCUGCCCUUGGACUCACCUUGGCUCCCCGAACGCAAACUCUAAUUUCUCUGUCGCUCCAGGGUCCCUCACCGGGAGAGACUGGGGGGCUCAUCCCUGCGUGUGGCACCAACAGCCCCCACAACCCAUCCCCUGGGAAGCGCUUCCGUGGAGCCGGAUGGACGAAAGCCCUCGACUUGGUCGUGCGCUGGGAUCCCCUCGGGGCUCUCCCAUCUCUGAUGUCUCUUAAGGCGUUAAGGAGCUCAGCUCUCCGGUUUGUCGGCUCCUCACCACCUUCUCCUUCACGGUUUGGUUUUGUGCCGGUGAAAGGGGGUGGUUUAAUGCGAUUACUCCGGUAAAACCCACAUAAGAGGAUUCGUGGGACUCGGCUUUCUGGGGCUGCAGUGCCGGUGGCAGCGUGUGGUGCGGGGGAACGUGUGAUGGCCGUGGGAGCGCAUGGAAGAGGCUCGGAAAAUCCCGGGGCUGUGGUGUCCCCGUGGGGGUGACCCCGGGAUUCCGCAGACCCUCUGGGUGCCACCUGCUGCCUUUUCUCUGCAGGGCAGAGAUCUGCCCCCGCUGUGGCUGCUGCUCAUCCCGGCAAGAGGAGGAUGUAACGGGCAAUGGAAAACACAAAGGACCGAGGGGGGAAAUCACAGAUUCAUGGAAUGGUUUGAGUGGGAAGGGAUAAUAAAGCCCAUCCAUUUCCACCCCCUGCCACGGGCAGGGACACCUCCCGCUGCCGGUGCUGCGGCAGCUCCGCAGCCGGCUCGCUCGCUCUUGCGUCGUGUCCCACUUCUCACAAGGGAAGGAGCUGCGCUGAGAUGCUGUAAAACCUCCUUUCGCCAUUCUUCACGGAGCAAUCGGGUCACACGGGCUCACCAGUAUCCUACCGGGAAAGCCGGUGUGUCUAACGCACCCUCUGCCCCCCGUCGGGAUGGUGCAGGCACUGGGAAACCCACCGUCCUGCCGCGGGGCUGAGCGAGCUGAACUGGAUCCCUGCUCCGAGCUGGAGCUGCGUGGUCUCCCCAGCGCUGGCGAGAUGGAAGGGCUUCUCUGGAAAUGGGCUCUCCCCGUCGGAGCUCAGCUCCGUGGCUUUACCGCAGCUCUUGAGUUUCUGGAUUUCCCCACUCAGGGAUUUUAACAGCUCUGUUGUCUCUGUCCGGGGGAUGGAGGAGAGGGAGGACUAGGGGAGAACAUGAGGGUUGGCUGCGGCCAGAGAAGGUGAGGAUGCCUUGGUUUUCCAAGAGUUCAAACCUCAAACUCUCCGAGGACAAAAGCUGCCGGUGACCCUCAGCGCCGCAGCUCAGCAGGAGCGAGACUGACCCGCAGGUCUCUUGAUCUCCUAUGGAACCCUUUGGUAACACCCAAACCAUCACCUCUCCUGGGUCAAAUUAUCCCUUUGGGGUUUCCUCGCAAUCCAGAUCCUCAGGGCCUUCAGAAACGCGUGUGUGUUUGUGGGUGGAUUGAUGUAUACUCUUAACUUAAAUAUACUUAAAUAUCAUGUAGGUGCCCCCCAGGUGGGACGUGGAGCGCACAAGAAGGGUCAGGAGCCGGGUUUGAGCCUGGCAUCAGGUGUGAACCCCGAUGGGACACAAGGGGGGAGCCUGGAGGGCUAACGCACCCCCAAAUCUGGCACUAAAUAGCCUCUUUUUUCCCCCAAAUCUAAGGCAGCCUGUCCGCGUCCAUCGCUUACACCUAGGUUUUUCUUUUUUAUGCUUUACUUGGGGAUAAUUGCCCCAAAGCAACGGCUUUCCUGGGGUGAGUUCAGAGGGAGGAGAUGGCCAGGCACACCCCCUCUGCUCCAAGAACCGAUUUUCCAAAGCGCCAAACAACUUCAGCCCUUCCAACCGCGUCCCCGAGUGCCGCCAGCGCGGCUCCGCUCCUCGGGGUCCCAUCGCCGGAGCGGGAGGGAAUCGGCCGAGCAGAUGGCUGCGAUCCCUCUCGGGAAGGCGAGCAGCUCCAGACAAUGCAUCCUUUGCUGCCAAGAGAGCAGGUGGGGAGGAAACAGAGCAUCCCCGGUGCAGCGCAAUGGCAAACAAAGGGAUUCAGCGGGAAAAGGAGCGAGGGAUUGUGCAGAAACCCCUCGCGCAGGGCAGGAAUAGCAGCUGGAGGGUUUUGACAGCUGAGCCUGGCAGCAAAGCCAUCAGCCGUGCCGGCUAAUUGAUUUAGGAACGACUCAUUUUGCAGAGGGGCCGUGCAGCAUCACGGAUCGUCACCCCCGAGCAUUACAGCAAGGGGAGGUGAGCUAAGAAAUGGUGAGAAUUAAAAAGCAAACCCAACGAGCGCGACUUUUAUUUCUCUUGGCUGCCGUGCAAGCGCCCUGAGAUCACGAAGUUGCGAGACUUUCAAUAAAACUGGAGGAAUUUGCCGCGAGAUCUCUCCCGUUUCGGUGCCAACGUGCAGCCUUCGGGGCAGCCGAGCUCUGAAACCACAGCGGGGGCAGAAAUUUUGUCCUUUUUCCUACAUUUGGGUGAAUGUCAGGGAACAGAAGCCACAGAUCUGAACACUGAGUGUUCACAGGACUCAUUUUCUCGUCUCCGGCGUGGGGUGCAGAAACCACCGAUCCAGAAACCUCACCAGACGUCACCCACUUUGGGAACUCCAGGGAAAGGGUGAGGGGAGCGCAGUAGCCACCCAGGACCCGAGUGUCCGGUCUCAAAUGACAUUUAAAGCACAAGAGGCCAAUCCUCUUUCUAGCUGUGAACUGGAUGCGAACGGUUUGGGCACCAGAAAGACCGUGAGGAGGCAAAGAUGGAGUCGCUGUUCAGGAUGCCCUUUUUCAUGGGAAAAUACUGGAGCAGCAUGAGUCACACGUCAGUGCAAUGCAUCCCCGGGCCAGAAAAGCGGUGCCUGGGAAAGGAGAUAGCUGACUGAACUGGGGCACAGACUUUGGCUUGAACCAGCUCCAGCUCAGGCAGAGAGUAGCAGGCGGAGACCCUGCGAUGAUGGAUCAGAAGCUUGAGAGAAGCGUUAUAGAAUGUGCUGAGUUGGAAGGGACCUCCAAGGACCAUCGAGUCCAGCAUUCAAACCCUGAGGGCGUUGGCCAAACACUUCUGGAAUAUUGUCCAGCUUGGCACUGCGACUGCUGCCCUGGGAGAUGCUCCAGGGCUCCACCACCCUCUGGGGAAGAACCUUCUCCUAAUGUCCAACCUAACCCUCC